UUUAAAAUGGCAGACUAGUGCAAUGAAUUUAAGAUUCAUAUAUAAAAUAUUUAAUAUUUUUUUAAAA
rnacentral:tRNA from 1 species